AGCGUGUACACAACGUCACCGGAAGUUAGACACUUUGGUAUAAAAGCACUUCCGCGUCCGUUGACGGUCCUUUCCUGUCUACGGCCUAUCGGAAGAUGGCGGUGCAAAUCUCCAAGAAGAGGAAGUUCGUCUCAGACGGUAUCUUCAAGGCCGAGCUGAACGAGUUCCUGACCCGUGAGCUUGCUGAAGAUGGUUACUCCGGCGUGGAGGUGCGUGUGACUCCAACCAGGACCGAGAUCAUCAUCC